UACGAGAACCCCAAGCGUUAUCCGGAAUCAUUGGGCGUAAAGGGUGCGUAGGCGGGUCUUUAAGUCAGGGGUGAAAUCCUGGAGCUCAACUCCAGAACUGCCUUUGAUACUGAGGAUCUUGAGUUCGGGAGAGGUGAGUGGAACUGCGAGUGUAGAGGUGAAAUUCGUAGAUAUUCGCAAGAACACCAGUGGCGAAGGCGGCUCACUGGCCCGAUACUGACGCUGAGGUGCGAAAGCGUGGGGAGCAACAGGG
rnacentral:rRNA from 1 species